AAUCUUUUCCUCCCUUGACGCUGAUUCAAAACACGUGUCAAAAUCCAGCAUCAACACAAUGCAAAUUGAAAUAGAUCUUGUGCUAUAAGUUCCACGGAUUGAUAAACCUUGGGGGAAUACUCUGAGGGAAACGCUACAACUGAUCCGUGCGCUUACGGUUCACAAGUUGGCGUGCUUAAGUGACGUCAACAAGCUUUUCUAGCAGCUAUGCUGGGGAACUAAUAGUCAACUUCUAGUUUAACUAUGCAUCUG
rnacentral:lncRNA from 1 species